rnacentral:lncRNA from 1 species
CUGAAUUAAAACUCUCAGUUUUCCUUGACAAAAACCUUGGGCUCAUCUCCAAUUAGCUGAGUUCUUGUGCAAAACUUUACUUGUAUCCAUAACAUUCAAACAUCAUCGAAGCUUUCUGAUCUGCCGUGGGAAACGGUAAUAAAUGCUUGUAGCUUUCCUUAUCAUAGUGCUGAGGAAAGUAAGCAUCAGAGUAAUGCAAGUCCUUCUGAACAGACAUCGUCACACAAAAUUUGGCUCAGCUGCUCAGAUUGGAACAGCGAUGUUUGCUAUGAGAUCAAAGUGAUUGCUACUGAAGAAAUCCAAGGUAUUGGAUGUAUUGCUCGUCUAAGACACAAAAUUGGGAAAGCUGUGACUGAUGCUGGCCAAUAUGACAAACACCAAUUUGUGCAAGUCUCCGUUGCUUCUCAGAUACACCGUUCUCAUGAAGAAGUUGAUUGGCACAUGCUCUGUAGAUACGGUAAAACCAGGACAGAAGGAACACUGCUGGACCUGCAGCGCUAAGAAGCUGAGACAGGAGUACAGAUGCACUGAGUGAUAAUGGUGUCUUCAGGGAGCAGCAACGUCUUACUGCACUUGCAGAUUCAUUUAAAAACAUCUCUUUUACAUGAUACUGCAGAUUAGCUGUGCAAUGUAUUCUCUGUAAAUGAGGAAGAUAGAUAGAUGAGAAAACAAUUGCUUACCUGGAAAUUAGGACUUUGUCCAGGGUAUUAGCACAGCCCUCCCCAGGAAACAGCUUCAUCUGGUUUUGCUAGCAGAAGAUGAGAGUAUUGACGGUUAAUUCAUACGAGGAGAACCACCAAAUGUGUUAGGCAGUACUUCAGGAACCAUCCUCUUUGUGGUAACUACACUUCCAAUAGCUGCAUUCUGAAAUCCAAGUGACAGCUGGACUUCAUUUUGAAAGUUUAUUAAAAUAAGCUGUCUCUGCAGUUAUACCAUUACAUUUUACAGAGGUCUGCAACUGUUUCCAUUACAGCUAGCAAAAUUAACAGAUAAGAUACCCUGAAACAAGGAGACUUGUACUGUCUCCUUGUGGCUUCAAGCACUGGGCUCAUAUUUCUUAGAGUAACCUUGUAGGAUUCUAGAAUUUCAGUGCACAUUGUUCUCAGAACAUUUUCACUCUGGGGGUCAACCAUGCAUUGACCCAUCCCACUGGUACACA